UGGGGAAUAUUGCACAAUGGGCGCAAGCCUGAUGCAGCGACGCCGCGUGAGGGAUGGAGGCCUUCGGGUUGUAAACCUCUUUCGCCAGUGAAGCAGGCCAUCUUCUUUGUGGGGUGGUUGACGGUAGCUGGAUAAGAAGCGCCGGCUAACUACGUGCCAGCAGCCGCGGUAAUACGUAGGGCGCGAGCGUUGUCCGGAAUUAUUGGGCGUAAAGAGCUCGUAGGCGGCUGGUCGCGUCUGUCGUGAAAUCCCCUGGCUUAACUGGGGGCUUGCGUUGGGUACGGGCCGGCUUGAGUGCGGUAGGGGAGACUGGAAUUCCUGGUGUAGCGGUGGAAUGCGCAGAUAUCAGGAGGAACACCGGUGGCGAAGGCGGGUCUCUGGGCCGUUACUGACGCUGAGGAGCGAAAGCGUGGGGAGCGAACAGG
rnacentral:rRNA from 1 species